rnacentral:rRNA from 1 species
GAUGAACGCUGGCGGCGUGCCUAAUACAUGCAAGUCGAGCGAACAGACGAGGCGCUUGCUCCUCUGACGUUAGCGGCGGACGGGUGAGUAACACGUGGAUAACCUACCUAUAAGACUGAGAUAACUUCGGGAAACCGGAGCUAAUACCGGAUAAUAUAUUGAACCGCAUGGUUCAAUAGUGAAAGACGGUUUUGCUGUCACUUAUAGAUGGAUCCGCGCCGCAUUAGCUAGUUGGUAAGGUAACGGCUUACUAAGGCAACGAUGCGUAGCCGACCUGAGAGGGGGAAGCGCCACACUGGGACUGAGAGACGACCCUGGCUCCGACGGGAGGCAGCAGCAGGGACUCUUCCGCGCAGGGCGAAAGCUUGACGGAGCAACGCCGCGUUAGUGAUGCAGGGCUGCGUAUCGUAAAACUCUGUUAUUAUUGAAGACCAAUUGUGUAAGGAACUAUGCACUUCUUGACGGUACCUAGUCAGAAAGCCCCGGCUAACUACGUG